CACGUAGGCGGAUUUGUAAGUCAGGGGUGAAAUCCCGGGGCUCAACCUCGGAACUGCCUUUGAUACUGCAAAUCUUGAGUCCGGAAGAGGUGAGUGGAAUUCCUAGUGUAGAGGUGAAAUUCGUAGAUAUUAGGAAGAACACCAGUGGCGAAGGCGGCUCACUGGUCCGGUACUGACGCUGAGGUGCGAAAGCGUGGGGAGGCAAAACA
rnacentral:rRNA from 1 species